UAGGGAAUAUUGGACAAUGGGGGCAACCCUGAUCCAGCCAUGCCGCGUGAGUGAAGAAGGCCCUCGGGUUGUAAAGCUCUUUUGUCCGGAAAGAAAAGCUUCGGGUUAAUACCCCGGGGUUCUGACGGUACCGGAAGAAUAAGCACCGGCUAACUUCGUGCCAGCAGCCGCGGUAAUACGAAGGGUGCAAGCGUUACUCGGAAUUACUGGGCGUAAAGCGUGCGUAGGUGGUUGUUUAAGUCUGAUGUGAAAGCCCUGGGCUCAACCUGGGAAUGGCAUUGGAAACUGGGCAGCUAGAGUGCGGUAGAGGGUAGUGGAAUUCCCGGUGUAGCAGUGAAAUGCGUAGAGAUCGGGAGGAACAUCUGUGGCGAAGGCGACUGCCUGGACCAGCACUGACACUGAGGCACGAAAGCGUGGGGAUCAAACA
rnacentral:rRNA from 1 species